UACAUAGUGAAGGAAAUGCAGAGAGCUAUGGGCCGGGCAAACAUAAUCCUCUCUGAGGAGAAAGUGUUAAUGGGCUGUUGCUCAAAUUCAAAAAUCUAUCUAGUGUACAUUAAUCUGGACGGUUGCAAACAAGAGUUUGCAGAAACAUUUUCUGAGCAGGGUUGUGAUGAGGAUAUGUUUCAAAGAGCCCUGACCUUCUUCUCACCAGGUUAUGCCUGCUGCCUUGCUAAAAGACACUUCCCCUUUCCUCAGCCCAGCUCCACUGGUCACCUGGAGGGAGGGGUGUGUUUCUGUCAGUAUGUCUCACAGCAACUGAGUACAGAGCAAUGGGAAUAGUAAUGGCCACAUUAUUGUCUUUACUGUUAGAUUAAAGCUCACCAAAUCAACAUGUAAUGUCUUGACUAAUAAGAGCCACCAAGAGCCAUUAAAGGCACAGUCACUUAAUUCAUGUUAGAAGCCCCUCAGACAUCAGGAAGGAGGCUGUCACUUUAACAAACCUGAAAGCAGAACAGUGAGGAUGCUUGGCACCCUCUUCUUCCGGAGUUUACUUUCAGUUCUCGAUCACCCACACUGUGCGAUCACUCUUCAUUAUAUAUGCUGGAAUUUACUGUAUCAUGAACAGUUUCUUCGUAGAUAAUGGAGCCAAUGACCUGCAGACUGCAGACAUACAGUCACAGCCUGUCCCACUGUCUCCCUCUAUUAAUGAUCUUCCCACACUGGGAGAUGGCGAGUGUUACCAUGUCUUCAUUAGCUACAGCAGCACCGACUACCAGUGGACCCACUCCCUCAUCCACCAGCUGGAGUCCUUCGGCUUGCAGGUCUGCUACCAUGAGCGUGACUUCACUCCCGGCCGCACCGUGUUGGAAAACAUGUCCGACUGCAUCCAGGAGAGCCAGAAAGUCCUGCUGGUUCUCAGCCCAGAGUUUGUGAGGAGCCGCUGGUGUCUCCUGGAGGCCAACAUGUCUUUGUUCAGAGACUGCCUGCAGAGGAAACCCAUCGUCCCAGUGCUGCUGGAGCCAGGAGUCUCUGUUCCUCUCCACCUCUGCCACCUCACCUACCUGGAGGCCAAUGACCCGGACUUCAAGACUAAGCUGCUCAAGGUGCUCUGCACCCCCAACCAGCAGCUUCAAGGGUCCACUGUGGUGCCCUUCCAGCCUCCUUCUAUCUACAAUGGGAAGGCCCUGCAGUCUUUGAUUGCUGUCAAUGAUGAUGAACUCAAUGAAUGGGAUUGUGGUCAGUUCAGUGACAUGGAGGUGCCAGACCAACUGCGCCUGAUCAUUAAGGAUCAUGAGAAGUACAGAAAGGCUGUGAGGAUGAUCAAUGAUGUCUCUCAAAGUAAAGUGUGGUUUCGCCCACUCUGGGUUAGGGUACUGAUCUACCUUACAGGCAUAAUAUGUUUUUUAAUCAUGACAGCAUUUUCCACAGGUUUGACAAUCAUAUUUUGUAGUAGCCAAAGGUUUUACGCAUACCCUUUAGGAGUAUGGGUGCUCACUAUUUCUGGUUUCUGCUGUGUUCCAUUGGGGUUGUUUAUUCAGAUUUGUCUCUGGAAGUGGGGAGAUGUGAAGUACAUUGUGAGGGAAAUGCAGAAAGCUAUAUGCAAAGCAAACACAAUACUCUCUGAGGAAAAUGUGUUAAUGGGUUGUCGGUUCAAUUUAAAACAAAUCUAUCUAGUGUACAUUAAUCUGGACGGUUGCAAAAAAGAGUUUGCAGAAACAUUUUCUGAGCAGGGUUGUGAUGAGGAUAUGUUUCAAAGAGCCCUGACCUUCUUCUCAUCAGGUUAUGCCUGCUGCCUUGCUAAAAGACACUUCCCCUUUCCUCAGCCCAGCUCCACUGGUCACCUGGAGGGAGGGGUGUGUUUCUGUCAGUAUGUCUCACAGCAACUGAGUACAGAGCAAUGGGAAUAGUAAUGGCCACAUUAUUGUCUUUACUGUUAGAUUAAAGCUCACCAAAUCAUCAUGUAAUGUCUUGACUAAUACGAGCCACCAAGAGCCAUUAAAGGCACAGUCACUUAAUUCAUGUUAGAAGCCCCUCAGACAUCAGGAAGGAGGCUGUCACUUUAACAAACCUGAAAGCAGAACAGUGAGGAUGCUUGGCACCCUCUUCUUCCGGAGUUUACUUUCAGUUCUCGAUCACCCACACUGUGCGAUCACUCUUCAUUAAAUAUGCUGGGAUUUACUGUAUCAUGAACAGAAACAAAGACUUGUUUGAGAUGUGAGCGCCGCCAUGUACCACAGAAGAAGGAUCAAUAUUUGCUGUCCUUUACGACACACAAAGACGGGAUUCAGGAUAUGAAACGGAGACAUGACACCGUUGUACGGCAGGGAAUAUAAACCAUGAACAGAUUCUGAGAACACAGCAGUGACUCUGUCUGCGCUCCUUGCCAGUCUCAACAGCUGCUGUAACCCGUGGAUAUACAUGAUCUUCAGCG